UGCAAAGCCGCGAGGCAGAGCGAACCCCAAAAAGCCGUCCCAGUUCGGAUCGCGGGCUGCAACCCGCCUGCGUGAAGUCGGAAUCGCUAGUAAUCGCGGAUCAGCAUGCCGCGGUGAAUACGUUCCCGGGCCUUGUACACACCGCCCGUCACACCAUGAGAGUCGGGAACACCCGAAGUCCGUAGCCUAACCGCAAGGGGGGCGCGGCCGAAGGUGGGUUCGAUAAUUGGGGUGAAGUCGUAACAAGGUAGC
rnacentral:rRNA from 1 species